rnacentral:rRNA from 1 species
GCAUAUCAAUAAGCGGAGGAAAAGAAACCAACAGGGAUUGCCCCAGUAACGGCGAGUGAAGCGGCAACAGCUCAAAUUUGAAAUCUGGCCCCCCGGCCCGAGUUGUAAUUUGCAGAGGAUGCUUUUGGUGAGGCACCCACCGAGUCCCCUGGAAUGGGGCGCCAUAGAGGGUGAGAGCCCCGUAUGGUGGGAAGCCGAGCCUCUGUAAAGCUCCUUCGACGAGUCGAGUAGUUUGGGAAUGCUGCUCUAAAUGGGAGGUAAAUUUCUUCUAAAGCUAAAUACUGGCCAGAGACCGAUAGCGCACAAGUAGAGUGAUCGAAAGAUGAAAAGCACUUUGAAAAGAGGGUUAAAAAGUACGUGAAAUUGUUGAAAGGGAAGCGCUUGUGACCAGACUUGCGCCGGGCGGAUCAUCCAGCGUUCUCGCUGGUGCACUCCGCCCGGCUCAGGCCAGCAUCGGUUUUCGCCGGGGGACAAAGGCUUCGGGAACGUAGCUCCUCUCGGGGAGUGUUAUAGCCCGUCGCGUAAUACCCCGGCGGGGACCGACGACCGCGCUUCGGCAAGGAUGCUGGCGUAAUGGUCAUCAGCGACCCGUCUUGAAACACGGACCGAGGAGUCAAGCAUUAGUGCGAGUGUUUGGGUGUAAAACCCGCACGCGUAAUGAAAGUGAACGUAGGUGAGAGCUUCGGCGCAUCAUCGACCGAUCCUGAUGUUUUCGGAAGGAUUUGAGUAGGAGCAUUAACGCUUGGACCCGAAAGAUGGUGAACUAUACUUGAAUAGGGUGAAGCCAGAGGAAACUCUGGUGGAGGCUCGCAGCGGUUCUGACGUGCAAAUCGAUCGUCAAAUUUGAGUAUAGGGGCGAAAGACUAAUCGAACCAUCUAGUAGCUGGUUUCAGCCGAAGU